CAACCCUUAAGCCUAGCUUAGUGUUGGGAGCUUACGGUCUCUGUAACUCCCUAAAGACAGUGGCAGAGCUAGAUCAUCUCUCAGCGUAGUAAUUUUAUCUCGCUUUUGUAGAAGGUCUAGUCCUCGCCAUAAACCAAUUAUUUUUUGU
rnacentral:misc_RNA from 1 species